UCCCUGGUGGUCCAGUGGUUAAGACUCUGCGCUCCCAACACAGAGGGCCCUGGUUGGAACCCUGGUAGGGGAA
rnacentral:tRNA from 1 species